UUUUUUGUUUUGUUUUUCUGUUAAGCUUUAUUUUAAUUCCAGUGUAGUGACAGACAGUGUUAUAUUAGUUUCAGGUGUACAAUAUAACUCAACAAUUCCAUAUAAUCACCCAGAGCUCAUCAAGACAAACGCACUCCUUAAUCCCCAUCACCUACUUCAUCCAUCCAUCCAUCCACCCAUCCUCUGGUAACCAUCAAUUUGUUCUUUAUAGUUAAGAGUCUGUUUCUUGGAUUCUCUCUCUCUCUCUCUCUUUUUCCCGUUGCUCAUUUGUUUUGCUUCUUAAAUUCCACAUAUGAGUAUAUAGCAUUAUAAUCCCUAGCACCAUCCAUGUUGUUGCAAAGGAUUUACAGAAUUAGAAUAAACCUAAAACUUCCUUGGACUACAAAAGAACCAGAAUAGCCAAAGUAACCUUAAGAACAAAUCUGGAGGUCUCACAAUCCAAGAUUUCAAACUGCACUACAAAGCAACAGAGAAUGGUACUGGCAAAAACACAAUAAAUCAAGAGAACAUAACACCCCAGAAAUUAACUGAAGGUUAUACGGUCAAUUAAUCUAUGACAAAGGAGACAGGAAUUUACAAUGGGGAAAAACAGUCUCUUCAAUAAAUAGUGCUAGGAAAACAAACAACCACAUGCAAAUGAAUGAAACUGGAUCAGUUUCUUGCACAACACACAAAAAUAAACUGAAAAUAAAGACCAAAAUGAGGAGUGCCUGGUGCUAUAGUCCAUUAAGCAUCUGACUCUCAUCUCAGGUCUUGAUCUGUGUUCUAAGAGUUCCAGGCGCUGUGUUGGGCUCUAAGAUGGGCAUGGAGGCUGCUCAAAAAAUAAUAAUAAUAAAGGGGUGCCUGGGUGUCUCAGUUGGUUAAGCAUUUGGCUCAGAUCAAGAUCCCAGGGUCCUAGCAUCAAGACCUGCAUCUGGCUCCCCGCUCAGAGGAAGCCUGCUUUUCCCUCUUCCUCUGCAGUGCCCCCACCACCACUGGUGCUCCCACACUCACUCUGUCAAAUAAAUAAAUAAAAUCUUAAAUAAUAACAAUAAAAUAACGAUAAAGUCCAAGAUGUAAUAUCUGAAAGCAUAAAACUCCUAAAAGAAAACACAGACAGUAAAUUUACAGACAUCAGCCAUAGCGAUAAUUUUCUGGAUAUGUCUCCUCGGACAUGGGAAAUAAAAGCAAAAAUAAUUAAAUGGGGCUAUAUCAAACUAAAAAGCUUUUGCACAGUAAUGGAAAUAAUCAACAAAACAAAAAGAUGACCUCUAGAAUUGAAAAAAUAUUUACAAAUUAUAUAUCUGGUAAGGAGUUAAUAAUCAAAAUGUAUAAUAAAUGCAUGGAACUCACCACCAAAACAAAAAUCUAAUCAAAACAGGGCAGAGUACCUAAACAGACAUUUUUCGUAAAAAAACAAAACAAAACAAAACAAAAAACAAACAAACAAAAAAACACUACAUAUGGCCAAUUGACACAAGAAAAUAAGUUCAACGUCAUUAAGUUAUCAGGGAAUGCACAUCAAAACCACAAUAUCCAGGAUGCCUGGGAGGCUCCGCAGUUAAAGCCUCUGCCUUUGGCUCAGGAUGUGAUCCUAGAGUCCUGGGAUCCAGUCCCAGGCAGAGCUCCCUGCAGGGAACCUGCUUCUCCCUCUGCCUGUGUCUCUGCCUCUCUCUGUGUCUCUCUCAUGAAUAAAUAAGUAAAAUCUUAGAAAAACAAAAAAACAAAACCACAAUAUCACCUAACACCAGUCAGAAUGCCCAGGGUCGAAAAGAAAAAAAGUAAGUGUUGCACAGGAUGUAUCGAAAAGGGAACCCUUCUGCAAUGUUGGUGGAAACAUAAACUGAUGCAGCUGCUGUGGGAAACAGUGUGGACAAUCCUCAAAAAACUAAAAACACACGUAUCAUGCAAUACAGUAAUUCUACUUCUGAGUAUUUACCAAACAAAAACAAAAACAUGAAUAUCGAAAAGAUGUAUUUACCCUUAUGUUUAUUCCAGCAUUAUCUACAAUAACAAAGAUAUAGAAUCAACCUACACCUCCACCCAAGGAAGACUGGAUAAAAAAGAUGUGGUAUAUAGACACAAUGGAAUAUUUUACUUAGCCAUACUGAAGAAUGAAACCUUACCAUUACUGGUAAC
rnacentral:lncRNA from 1 species